rnacentral:piRNA from 1 species
UUGCCUUAAGUUGUGUAGCUAUCCUCUUC